GUGUUUUAAAUAGGUACUUUAACAUGUUUUCAGUAGAUGGAUAUCAUGUGGAUAAUGUGCAAACAUAGGAACAUUAUGUCGAACUUGCUCUUAUUGGAGACUAUAUGCCAGAUAGGCUUAAUUGUAACAAUGCAUUCGCAAAUUACUGGAAGGAUCAACUAAAAAACAUCAGGAGCUUCAAAUCGAAGUCAAAUGAUUGUUCUAUUGAAGAUUUUGGGCCUUAGUAUUGCUGAAACAAUAGCAUGAUGGUGAUAACUGGGUUGGUUCAAAACUGCAACUGCUUAAAUUUACUCAAGCACGAGUGUUCGAUUUAUUGUGAGCAUAUUAUCAAACUGAAUAAGGGAUGCUUUGUUGCUUCAUAAACCACUAAUGAACGCAAACUUACUUGAAAAUCUUUAACUUGAUUGCUGGUCUGAUCAAUCUAUGAUACUCGAUUGUCUAUGCUAUGUGGCUAAUGAGUGCUUAUCAUGCCAUUCUUAAUAUUUCUGUAG
rnacentral:lncRNA from 1 species